rnacentral:rRNA from 1 species
AAUAUUGGACAAUGGGGGCAACCCUGAUCCAGCCAUGCCGCGGGUGUGAAGAAGGUCGNCGGAUUNUNAAGCACUUUAAGUUGGGNGGAAGGGCAGGAAGUUAAUACCUUGCUGGUUGGACGGUACCGACAGAAGAAGCACCGGCGAACGUCGGGCCAGCAGCCGCGGUAAUACGAAGGGUGCAAGCGUUAAUGGGAAUUACUGGGCGUAAAGCGCGCGUCGGUGGUUUGUUCCGUUGGACGUGCCAGCCCCGGGCUCACCCUGCGAACUGCUUUCCACACUGGCACGCUAGAGUAUGGCCGAGGGUGGUGGCAUUUCCUGUGUAGCGGUGAAAUGCGUAGCUAUAGGAAGGCCCGCCAGUGGCGAAGGCGACUACCUGGACUGAUACUGACACUGAGGUGCGAAAGCGUGGGGGGCAAAC